CUAGUCACGCGCGUGUUAGGGCUCUGAUCCAGGAGCUAUUUACAUGUUUUUGCCGCGCAGCCGGUGAAGGUUACAGGGAUCAGUGCCAGUAGACACACCCUCAUGGUAUAGCGAUGAUAAACAAGUAGCGCUGUAAAUAUAUUCCCUGCAAAUUAAUGACAGCAUUUCCAUCCGUGUACCCAGGGCACAAGACUGCUGACUUUGGUGUAAACUCCCGGCUUGUUUUCUCUACCACAGCCAUGUCCCCAGCUGGUGAUCCCAAGCAGGUUCCCAGCACAGAUCAUGUUCCUGGUCAAAGCAUUACCAUACACAUGGGGGAGUUUACACACUGAUGGACUAAUGAUGCCCACAGCGACCUCCAUAAGAUCCUUGGAGACACCGACUAUAUUGGGAUAAAAACAAUAUUCUUGUUAAUUUUUGCAAACAAGGCUCUAAA